rnacentral:rRNA from 1 species
UACGUAGGUGGCAAGCGUUGUCCGGAUUUAUUGGGCGUAAAGGGAGCGCAGGUGGUUUCUUAAGUCUGAUGUGAAAGCCCACGGCUUAACCGUGGAGGGUCAUUGGAAACUGGGUAACUUGUGUGCAGAAGAGGAAAGUGGAAUUCCAAGUGUAGCGGUGGAAUGCGUAGAUAUUUGGAGGAACACCAGUGGCGAAGGCGACUUUCUGGUCUGUAACUGACACUGAGGCUUGAAAGCGUGGGGAGCGAACAGGAUUAGAUACCCGGUAGUCCCUGAGCGGG